rnacentral:tRNA from 1 species
GAGGGUAUAGCUCAGUGUAGCGUGUGUGCUCAGCAUGCACGUGGUCCUGGGUUCAAUCCCCAGUACCUCCA